UAAAAACUGACCAUUGUUUAUUUCUACUUAUUAGAAAUGAUGUCUUUAUAGCCCUCCAAAUCACCAUUUGGACCCAUAUCUCAAAAAUGCUGCAGUAAAAUGGUUUGAUAUGAGGUGUGCAAAUAGUAUGGGACGUCCCUUAUAGGAACAGACCAUUGUUUUUUUCUACUUAUUAGAAAUGGGAUCUUUACAGCCAUUUAAAGUGUAAUAAUGUCCCAUAUCUCGAAAAUGCUGCAGUAAAAUGGUUUGAUAUGAGGUGUGCAAAUAGUAUGGGACGUCCCUUAUAGGAACAGACCAUUGUUUUUUUCUACUUAUUAGAAAUGGGAUCUUUACAGCCAUUUAAAGUGUAAUAAUGUCCCAUAUCUCGAAAAUGCUGCAGUAAAAUGGUUUGAUAUGAGGUGUGCAUAUAGUAUGGCAUGUCCUUUAUAAGAACUGACCAUUGUUUUUUUCUACUUAUUAGAAAUUAUGUCUUUAUAGCCCUCCAAAUCACCAUUUGAA